UUUCAGGCAUCAUGUCGGCUGGGACACCAGGCUCUCAUUGCCAGGAGGACAGUACAUCCCUCAAAAACAUGAAGAAAUUCUGCUUCUCUUGUGGAAAAGUUCCUGUUGCAAGCUCCUGAGGAGAGGAGUGUUCAUCUGUACAUUACCGUGUCCCCUCAAGACUGGCCUGAUCUUCAUUGACUGACUGCGUGGAUACUGCGCAGAACUUGACAGAUGUCAAUGCUAAGCUCCACACCAAGAAGAGCUGCCAAUCAGGUGUCGUGCUGGUGCUCCAGGGGAGCUCAUGACUGCAUCACUUUGGUCAUCUGGCUCAGGUGUGAGAAUG